rnacentral:rRNA from 1 species
GAUGAACGCUGGCGGCGUGCCUAAUACAUGCAAGUCGAGCGAACAGACGAGGAGCUUGCUCCUCCGACGUUAGCGGCGGACGGGUGAGUAGCACGUGGAUAACCUACCUAUAAGACUGGGAUAACUUCGGGAAACCGGAGCUAAUACCGGAUAAUAUAUUGAACCGCAUGGUUCAAUAGUGAAAGACGGUUUUGCUGUCACUUAUAGAUGGAUCCGCGCCGCAUUAGCUAGUUGGUAAGGUAACGGCUUACCAAGGCAACGAUGCGUAGCCGACCUGAGAGGGUGAUCGGCCACACUGGAACUGAGACACGGUCCAGACUCCUACGGGAGGCAGCAGUAGGGAAUCUUCCGCAAUGGGCGAAAGCCUGACGGAGCAACGCCGCGUGAGUGAUGAAGGUCUUCGGAUCGUAAAACUCUGUUAUUAGGGAAGAACAAAUGUGUAAGUAACUAUGCACGUCCUGACGGUACCUAAUCAGAAAGCCACGGCUAACUACGUG